UACUAUUGAGCAAUGGUUUCAACUAUGUAAAAAGAAGUGGGUCAAAUGGUUUGACAACCUACUGGAUUUGCUGUAAGCGUUUUGUGCUGCGCAUCGGCAACGAUAUCUGCACCGACGCUACACGGCAUAAAUACUCGAUUAUGCUAAAGAGUGGCAGUCAGUUUUCACAAAGCAGUUCAACGUUUCAUCAUGUUCAAGAGAAUCUGGAAAUCCUUGGCUAGAAUGUGCCGGAAUAGAGGCAAUAACAAGAAAUCGUAUAACUAUCAAUCAGCACAAGCCGACUAUCUAACAAUCCGUCAUCGCAGCAAAGCGGAAAUUAAUCUAGUUAGCCUUGAUGAUGGACGAACAGAAUUUCGAACGCCAUUCACUACUCGAUUGGGGCGAAAGGUCAUCCACCUUCGUAAAUAAUGCAGACGUGUUUUGCUGCGGGUCGUAUGACGCCUAGCUGAAAAGCAACCUGGAAUGUGAUAUCGUGUGACUUUUUGGUGUGGGAAUCGAAUUUUGGGUGCCUUGUUUGGUUUGCGGACACAACAUUAACUAUUUGUGCAUAAAUCUAUUUACAAACUAUUCUAUUUCCUACCCGUUUAAAUCAAAACUAUGAAAU